CGCCAUUCACAAACCCUCUGUCUGAAACCCUUAUUCUUGCCGUCCUUCUACCGUUCACAACUGUCGUUGCCAUCAUACUUGAUUUCUUCUUGCUUAGUUUCACUUUGGCCUCUAAUACGAUCUGUCUCCUUCACUUUGUUUCACUCUAUCUCCUUGGCUUUUAGAUCGGAAUGGACGUUGACUUCUCCCUCCUCCCUGCCACCACCACUGUCCGUUCCUCCUCCUCCUCCGGUGGUUGCACUGAUAUUCUUGGCCGGAGUAACACCCCUUCCUUCUCUUAUUUCAAAGACUGAAAGUUUAAUUACAGAGCCGAUCUAAAAGCCAAGGUGAGCCUUUUUCUUGUCAAUUUCGUUUGGUUUGAUUCAUACCCUUUAUGGGUUUUUGAAGAUUAAAUCUUUGA
rnacentral:lncRNA from 1 species